rnacentral:tRNA from 1 species
UAUAUAUUAGUGUAUGAGGCACAUGGAUUUUUGAUUUCCUAAGACUUAGUUUAAUUCUAAGAUAUAUAA